GACGAACGCUGGCGGCGUGCUUAACACAUGCAAGUCGAACGGAAAGGCCCUGCUUUUGUGGGGUGCUCGAGUGGCGAACGGGUGAGUAGCACGUGAGUAACCUGCCCUUGACUUUGGGAUAACUUCAGGAAACUGGGGCUAAUACCGGAUAGGAGCUCCUGCUGCAUGGUGGGGGUUGGAAAGUUUCGGCGGUUGGGGAUGGACUCGCGGCUUAUCAGCUUGUUGGUGGGGUAGUGGCUUACCAAGGCUUUGACGGGUAGCCGGCCUGAGAGGGUGACCGGCCACAUUGGGACUGAGAUACGGCCCAGACUCCUACGGGAGGCUGCAGUGGGGAAUAUUGCACAAUGGGCGGAAGCCUGAUGCAGCAACGCCGCGUGCGGGAUGACGGCCUUCGGGUUGUAAACCGCUUUCGCCUGUGACGAAGCGUGAGUGACGGUAAUGGGUAAAGAAGCACCGGCUAACUACGUG
rnacentral:rRNA from 1 species